AAAUAAGAAGCGAAUUAUUGCUCCCAGUUUCGACCUGGAAUAUUUGAUGUUAAAUCAUCCUUA
rnacentral:tRNA from 1 species